GGGUAUAGAAAUCCAUGUCCAAUAAGAUGGUGUGUCGCUCCAUACGAUGUGGAGCUCCCUGGGAGACACCAUGUAACAUUUCUUCCCACUCGAUCUUUCCAGCGACAAACUCUGUUUCAUCCAAACCACCAUUCCUAUUUAUUACAUGGAAAGAUGCA